rnacentral:lncRNA from 10 species
CUAACCUCAAGUGAUCCACCUGCCUCAGCCUCCCAAAGUGCUGGGAAUACAGGCAUGAGCCAUCAUGCCCAGCCCAAUAGGCACGGAAAUUGUUUUGUAUUUUAUUACUAUUACUGAAAUAUGCUUCACAUAUAAAAUUCACCAUUUUUAAAGCAUGCAGUUCAGUGGUUUCUAGUAUAUUCACAAAGCUCUACAAUUAUUACCACUAUCUAAUUAACAUAUCAUUAUUCCCCCAACAAACCCUGUACUCAUCAGCAGUUACUCUCCAUUACUGCCUCCCUACAGUCCCGGAUACACACAUGUGCAAGCAUAAACUGCUAAUUACUUUCUAUCUCUGUGGACUUGCUUCUUCUGGACAUUUCAUAUAAAUGGAACCAUUCAGUCUGUUGCCUUUUGUUUCUGGCUUCUUUCACUUAACAUAGAGUUUUCAAGGUUCAUCCAUGUUAUAGCAUGUAUCAGUACUUCAUUCCUUUUUAUGGCUGAAUAAUAUGUCAUUAUAUGGAUAUGGCAGGUUUUGUUUAUCCAUUCCUCUGUUGAUAGACAGACGCAUUGUUUCCACCUUUUUGCUGAUAUAGAUAAUGCUGCUAUGAACAUGUAUGUACAGGUUUUGGUAUGGACCUUUGCUUAUAAUUCUGUUGAGUAUUUCUCAAGGAGAGGAAUUGCUAAGUCAUAUGGUAAUUCUAUAUUUAAUCGUUUGUGUAACUGCCAGACUUUUCUCCAUAGCAGUAAUUAAGAUGGGAAUUUUGGAAGAAAGGAGACUGUAAUUGGUCUUCAGGUAUAUUUGACAAUCCUUAAUGGCUAAAAGUGGACAGUGGAGCAGUUUAUAAACAUUUCAAAGGUGGAAAGAUUGAUUAUUUAAGGUUAGAAAUGGAGAGUUUUCUGUGGCUGGCCUUUCCUAGAACAAGCAUAUGUCAAUAGGGUCUUUUUUUGUGGUUGAGUUAUUAUAAUGGUCUUUAUUGGAGGAAGCUGCCAAAACAGGCCGUUUCUAAACCUAUAAAAGGUUUUGGAGCAAAAAAAUAGUAAAACAUGCCAAAAAUUUAAAGGUUAAAUAGUAUUUCGGUUGUUAGG